AUUGAACGCUGGCGGCAUGCCUUACACAUGCAAGUCGAACGGCAGCACGGGAGCAAUCCUGGUGGCGAGUGGCGAACGGGUGAGUAAUAUAUCGGAACGUGCCCAGUCGUGGGGGAUAACGUAGCGAAAGCUACGCUAAUACCGCAUACGAUCUAUGGAUGAAAGCGGGGGAUCGCAAGACCUCGCGCGAUUGGAGCGGCCGAUAUCAGAUUAGGUAGUUGGUGGGGUAAAAGCCUACCAAGCCUUCGAUCUGUAGCUGGUCUGAGAGGACGACCAGCCACACUGGAACUGAGACACGGUCCAGACUCCUACGGGAGGCAGCAGUGGGGAAUUUUGGACAAUGGGGGAAACCCUGAUCCAGCCAUGCCGCGUGUGCGAUGAAGGCCUUCGGUU
rnacentral:rRNA from 1 species